rnacentral:rRNA from 1 species
UACAGAGACCUCAAGCGUUAUCCGGAAUCAUUGGGCGUAAAGCGUACCGAUAGGUGGUUUUGAAAGUUUUGGGUAAAAGCCAGAAGCUUAACUUCUGAGUUUGCUCAAAAUACUGCAAGACUAGAGGGGCAAAGAGGAGAUUGGAACGAACGGUGUAGUAGUGAAAUGCGUUGAUAUCGUUCGGAACGCCGAAAGCGAAGGCAGAUCUCUGGGUGCCACCUGACACUGCUAGGACGAAAGCGUGGGGAGCGAAUGGG